ACAUGUGCUGGGUAGGAGGAA
rnacentral:miRNA from 1 species